rnacentral:lncRNA from 1 species
UCUAUGGUAUGACCAUUAAGGGAAAGUUCGGUGGUGUAGCGCUUCAACAAAGAACAAGAAUAAAAUGUGAUGCUCUAGAGAUAAUGAUCCAAUUUUUAAGGUUAUAUGGCUAUAAGGAAGUGUCUGCAGGCAUAGAUGGUUUAUUGACACCUAUAGAGAUGUUGCCACUAUAAAGAGUAAGGUCAAAACUACAAUUAGAAGAUUUGAGGAUAAACAACAUCGACACGGUGUGUUAUCAUAAGGCUACCCUACUAUUCCAAAAUGAAAGAUGAUGAGGUAGUGCAUAUCUUUUAGAGCAAUGAUCAAGGAAAAAGUUGAUCAAAAGAAAGGAGAAC